GCCUGCAGCCAUACCACCUCAGGCUGUGAUCUUGUCAGAUUUCAUGAGCUAUGUAGGGCCAGGCCUGAUCAGUAUAUGGAUGGGACACUUCCAAGGCAAACCUAGCUGUUGUGGAUU
ensembl:rRNA 5S_rRNA 5S ribosomal RNA